AGAGGGCCAAAGAAGGGCUGGAGGCCCAUCCCUCUUCUAUCAGGUGCUACAUUCCUUGUUUCAGGGCCUGUGGAGAAAAGCCGAGAGUUCUAGGAAAAUGGUUGGGAGUCCCAAUAAGGGAACCGAAACAACAGGAGCCUAGGAAAGAAAUGACCAGGGAGAGAGAAUAGUCUCUCCUUAGGUUAAAAGAUCUCAGAAGGAUCUGAAAUAGUUCCUGGGCAGAUGUACAGCUGCAACUCACUGGGAGCUCAAGGUGGUCUAGCCCAGACUACCCACUACACAGAAAGCUUCACCGUUUGCUUAAAUAUUGAUCAUAUAUGGGAUCAUCACUGCUUGGAAAUAAGCCCGAGGAGCCACAGCUAUGGUCAAGUGUCAAUAAGGGGUGGAUCCAAACCUUGGAGACAACCAGAAGUUUAGACACUGGAUUUUUUCCACAGCAUAGAGGGCCACCACUGAGCAGAUAUCACAGAGCUGGAGAAGCAAACAAGAGCUCUGCCACAAACAAACAGACAACAUGGACUAAACAUGAAAUCAUCAGGUGACAGAAGAAAAUCUUCAUGGUUCAAAGCCGCGUUGAGGAGGUAUUGGGGGAACUGAGAAGGGGCUGAGGUUCCGAAACAGUGUCAGUGGCUCCUUUAUUGCUGGAGUUGGACCUAAUGCACGUAUGUGUUAACUCAGUGUAUGUUACCACCUUUUUGUCUAUGCAGGUCAGAGAACAUUGGAGUGCAUGAUGCCCACAUAUGUGCAGUUAUCCAGGAAUACAGAUUACCCAAGGGAAGGUCGUUGCCUAUUUUAAAACUUUGACCUCAUUACUGAGAAAAAACAGAAGAAGAGAACUAUUUGCUAAGGAGAGUUAGCAGCUGAUGGAGCUUCGAAGAUGUUCUAGGAAGUGCAACGUAACAAGAGUAGGGAUCAGAUACUAGAGGCAGUGAUGGGCAGGUAGGAAGGGGUCAAAGCCUUUCAUUAUUGAAUUCAGCAAUUUCAUCAUGGUUCUUAUACAGGUGCCUACUACCUAUGACUUACUUAGUUCUUUACUUCUUCUCUCUUUGGUGGUUAUUCAGCUAAACCACAAAGCUUAAAGUACUUAUGGGCUCAGUAUAAAGACGGGAAGGAAGUGAGCUGCAGCAUAGGCCACCAUGCCUCAAUCCUUCUCUCCCAGAGAGAGAGAACUGCAGGGAUCGAGAGGACUUGCAGCCAAGUUGUAAAGAAAUCUAAAGCUGGACAAAAUCAUGAGUGGCUGGCAAAGAAGAAAAGACCAUGGGUGCAGCUGGACAUUUAGGGGAAGUUCUUGAGGCCAUGAAAGGGAAGUGAGCCUGGGUCCCCAAACAGAAGCUCUGUGGUCACUUGGGGCCACAUGAAAAAUGACUCCAAAGACCAGAUUAGAUACUGGGAUAGAGACUGUUCUUCAAGACUGACUAGAUAGAUACUGGAGUACGGACUAUGCCUGCCUUGCAAAUUGCAAAGGGCUUGUAGUUUUCUCAUUCCCAGAUUGAGUUAUUUUAGGCAAAGACAGCUUCUUCAAUUCUCUUCUACUCUGGCUCUAGAAAGGGAAUCUUCUGGGUCUUAGGAUGGAGGUAACAGGGCGGCCAUCCUGUUGGCUCACGAAGAGACAGGUAUGGCUACCAGCUUCUGGAAUGCUCAUCUCAGAUAUUUGCCUCACUCACAGUUUAUUAACAAAAUUAGCCCUCAUUAAUAAUCCUUUGAACUAGCAGAGCAGUCCUAGUUGAUUGAAAAUAAUUAUGAGCCUCUUUAGAUGAUUUAAACAGCACAUUUGGAUUUUCAUUUAUAUCAUCGAUUUGAUUGAACGAUAUAUAUGUGUACAAGGGUAUUUAUACGGCAUCUCUUAAAAGCAAUAAUAAACAGGGAUGGGGGGUUGCACACUGCUCUAAGUCUAAGGCAAGGGGAUCAAAGAAUGAUCUGGGUGCCAGUAUAAAUUAUGAAAGACGGGCUGUGACAGAGAUAAAGUUGCAUGGGGCAUAAAGGCUAAGCAGGCAGACAACCACUUACAAUGUCCUGAGCAUUGCAUCAGAGGACUGCACAUUCUGAUCAGCAUCAGGAAACAAGCAGUGUCAUUAAUCUGGAACAGAAAGAAUACACAGAUGUUUAAAAUGAUUUUUUCCCCUACUGACUCAGUCUCCUGCAUACUUGCAAAUUGAAGGUUGUAGAUUCAUAACCCCUGGGAUUCCCGCCCAAUGGGACAGGGUCCAGAAUUGUAUUUGUACCCAGUGACAUCCUUUUGGGUUCCAUCUCCUUUCUCUAAUCAGAAUAUAUAUUAAAAAGAGAGACGUAAAGCUUUGUCUCACCUUGGCUCUUCCAAGCCCAUUCUGUGAAGGAUCCAUUCAUUCAGCAAGAAUCCCAAACCUUCCUGCCACAAACGGGGGCAUCUCACAGGGAGCGCACAGGCCGCGUUCUUUGCGACUAUCAUUCAGUAUGGUGCAGCCUAAUUCAUAAAACACUGGUGCGAACGUGCUUCCACCUGGUUCAUUUGAAUCCGGUUUUGAUCCUUGUCCCCAUCUGGAUUGGCUGAACAAACUUCCAGUACUGGAGGAAAGAUUAUGCAAGCUUGGGAGUUUGUAACACUGUGAUUUUUUGUUUUAACACCACUGUGUAGGAAAAGAGCUCUCAUGGAGUGGUAAACCAGUUCAUUUUCUGGGGGCUGAAGGCUUCCUAGCAGGUCAGACACAAACCGAACACCAGGAUUGUGGCCAGUGUAAUCUGUAAGUCUGGUAGAUCAAUGCCUUCUUAAGCUGUCUUUUAUACCUAUCUACUCUCUCUCUAUGCCAUGAUUCUUGUUAGAUAUAAAGUUACUUAGGGAGGGGGUAAAAGGCAGAAUGGUCCAUCUCAGAUCUUGGAGGAUUUCCUAACAGGCUGUGCGCUCAGGUAAUGGCAGGUGACCUUUGGUCACGGUAGCACCAAGCCCCACGCAGUCCAGGAAAGGGCACUAGAAGCCCCUGCCUCGUUCUCUGGGAUCUGAAAAGUUCAUCCAUUUCCUCUGGUUUAUGCUGAAUCUCAUAGGGCUUGCCACCCCAUUAAACUCAUCUAUCUUUUUCCAAACCAUGAGCUCCCAGGGAAAA